CGCUGCCGGAGAAAGGAGCUGCAUCUCUGUGACUCCGGCCGCCGGGAGUGGUUCCGUGACUUCUGGGACCGCCGCCGAAGCCUCUGGCUGUUUCUGCCGUCACCGGAGAAUCCUGCCGUCGCCGGAGUCUGAUCACCGUUGCCGCCUAGGAUGGCUCCUGGGGCUGCCGCCGAACCGGUUCGGAGACCACCGUUGUUUCGGUUCAGCCGUUCCUUCGGUUCGAGUCGUUGUGGUUGCUGAGAAAAUGGUUUGGAGCUGAGGUUUUGGUAGCCGGGAUUUUGAUUGUUGAUUUCGGGUCGAUGCGGAAAGGACUCGGUGACGCGUUUGAGUUAUGGAAUUUGUGUUUUGAGGAUAUGGGCGCAGAAGUUACGAAGAGCUUAUUUAAUUUUUGUUGUG